AACCGGAUUAGAUACCCUGGGUAGUCCACGCCCUAAACGAUGCGAACUGGAUGUUGGGUGCAAUUUGGCACGCAGUAUCGAAGCUAACGCGUUAAGUUCGCCGCCUGGGGAGUACGGUCGCAAGACUGAAACUCAAAGGAAUUGACGGGGGCCCGCACAAGCGGUGGAGUAUGUGGUUUAAUUCGAUGCAACGCGAAGAACCUUACCUGGCCUUGACAUGUCGAGAACUUUCCAGAGAUGGAUUGGUGCCUUCGGGAACUCGAACACAGGUGCUGCAUGGCUGCCGUCAGCUCGUGUCGUGAGAUGUUGGGUUAAGUCCCGCAACGAGCGCAACCCUUGUCCUUAGUUGCCAGCACGUAAUGGUGGGAACUCUAAGGAGACCGCCGGUGACAAACCGGAGGAAGGUGGGGAUGACGUCAAGUCAUCAUGGCCCUUACGGCCAGGGCUACACACGUACUACAAUGGUAGGGACAGAGGGCUGCAAGCCGGCGACGGUAAGCCAAUCCCAGAAACCCUAUCUCAGUCCGGAUUGGAGUCUGCAACUCGACUCCAUGAAGUCGGAAUCG
rnacentral:rRNA from 1 species